rnacentral:rRNA from 1 species
GACGAACGCUGGCGGCACGCUUAACACAUGCAAGUCGAACGAAGAUGUUUCACCGUAGCUUGCUACACCGAGACAUUUUAGUGGCGGACGGGUGAGUAACACGUGAGCAAUCUGCCUUUCAGAGGGGGAUACCAGUUGGAAACGACUGUUAAUACCGCAUAACAUAUCGAGAUCGCAUGAUUUUGAUAUCAAAGAUUUAUCGCUGAAAGAUGAGCUCGCGUCUGAUUAGAUAGUUGGUGAGGUAACGGCUCACCAAGUCGACGAUCAGUAGCCGGACUGAGAGGUUGGACGGCCACAUUGGGACUGAGACACGGCCCAGACUCCUACGGGAGGCAGCAGUGGGGAAUAUUGGGCAAUGGGGGAAACCCUGACCCAGCAACGCCGCGUGAAGGAAGAAGGCUUUCGGGUGUAAACUUCUUUUACCAGGGACGAGAAAGGACGGUACCUAAGGAGGAAGCCCCGGCUAACUAUGUG